rnacentral:rRNA from 1 species
GAGUUUGAUCUUGGCUCAGAUUGAACGCUGGCGGCAUGCCUUACACAUGCAAGUCGAAUGGCAGCACGGGAGCUUGCUCCUGGUGGCGAGUGGCGAACGGGUGAGUAAUGCAUCGGAACGUAUCCUAGAGUGGGGGAUAACGUAGCGAAAGUUACGCUAAUACCGCAUAUUCUGUGAGCAGGAAAGCGGGGGACCUUCGGGCCUCGCGCUCUUGGAGCGGCCGAUGUCGGAUUAGCUAGUUGGUGAGGUAAAGGCUCACCAAGGCGACGAUCCGUAGCAGGUCUGAGAGGAUGAUCUGCCACACUGGAACUGAGACACGGUCCAGACUCCUACGGGAGGCAGCAGUGGGAAUUUUGGACAAGUGGGGGACAACCCUGAUCCAGCCAUGCCGCGUGAGUGAAGAAGG